CGCCGCGGUUAUACGAGAGGCCCAAGUUGAUGGUUAACGGCGUAAAGGGUGGUUAGAAAGAGACUAUUACUAAAGCCGAACGCCUUCAAGGCUGUUAUACGCAUCCGAAGGUGAGAAGCCCAUUCACGAAAGUGGCUUUAAUAACUUUGAACCCACGAAAGCUAGGAAA
rnacentral:rRNA from 1 species